rnacentral:rRNA from 1 species
AGCAGCCGCGGUAAUUCCAGCUCCAAUAGCGUAUAUUAAAGUUGUUGCAGUUAAAAGCUCGUAGUUGAAUUUCGGGGUUAGUAGGUUGGUCAUGCCUCUGGUAUGUACUGAUCUCACUGAUUCCUCCUUCCUGAUGAACUGUAAUGCCAUUAAUUUGGUGUUGCAGGGAAUCUGGACUGUUACUUUGAAAAAAUUAGAGUGUUUAAAGCAAGCUAACGCUGAUACAUUAGCAUGGAAUAGUGAAAUAGGACGUUCGAUCCUAUUUUGUUGGUUUCUAGGAUUGACGUAAUGAUUAAUAGGGAUAGUUGGGGGCAUUAGUAUUCAAUUGUCAGAGGUGAAAUUCUUGGAUUUAUUGAAGACUAACUACUGCGAAAGCAUUUGCCAAGGAUGUUUUCAUUAAUCAAGAACGAAAGUUAGGGGAUCGAAGACGAUCAGAUACCGUCGUAGUCUUAACCAUAAACUAUGCCGACUAGGGAUCGGAUGAUGUUAAUUUUUGACCCGUUCGGCACCUUAGGAGAAACCAAAGUGUUUGGGUU